GAACUCGGGACCUCGUAUACCAAC
rnacentral:miRNA from 1 species